UACGAAGGGGGCUAGCGUUGUUCGGAAUUACUGGGCGUAAAGCGCGCGCAGGCGGUUUCUCAAGUCAGUGGUGAAAGCCCGGAGCUCAACUCCGGAACUGCCAUUGAAACUGUGAAACUUGAGGACGAGAGAGGUGAGUGGAAUUCCCAGUGUAGAGGUGAAAUUCGUAGAUAUUGGGAAGAACACCGGUGGCGAAGGCGGCGACCUGGUCCAUUACUGACGCUGAGGCGCGACAGCGUGGGGAGCAAACAGG
rnacentral:rRNA from 1 species